AGGCAGGUAGUUUAUAAUUCACCACAGGUGUUUUGCAAGGAGCUUGACAUUUCAAAUAAACAUUUCAUUGUUCAUUUGUCAUUGAGAAAAUUGAUGUUUUUGAUGUUUUGAUGAUGUGAAUGAUUAAAUCUUUAGACCGACAGUGAAGUGAACAAAAGGUUAGGUUUUCCUUGAUCUGCAGGGUGUAGCCUACUGAUGCUUUCACGUUCAUGUUUAAAUCAUUUAAGCAGAGCUUUAACAAAUGUUUACCAUUUUAGAUGAAUCAGGCAGUAUGCUUCCCAUUCCAUGUUAAGGUUUGAUUUAUGUUGAUAUAAAAUAGGUUUACAGCUUUCACUGAUGUAUAGAGGCUCUGAUGAGCUUGACUGUUUACAAAAGGACAUCCUGAAAGCCUGUCCUUUCCGAUCCUUUGAGUCUGACUGAUAACUCGGCCUGUGACGGAUAUGUCCUUUUCCCAUCUCCUCAUCCACCGUCCUUCCAUCUCCACUGAGGAUCACUCUCAUUAAAGGUCCUUGGCAACUGCCGUAUUUAUGGACACAAAAUUCACAACGAGUAUCAACUGACUCAAAGACGAAUCUUUUUAUUUUUUUUGUAAAAUCAACAUACAGAAAUACCGGCUGUUCACAUUACAUAUCUUCCUGGGCUGCUCAUUCAGCCGGCAUUACCAGUGGCUCUUUGCCUUGUUCUCAAAUCCCUUUUGGAGCACCAGCCAAACCACAGGAGGAGACUAAAAUGAAAAACAAUAUUUGUCUUCUGAAGACUGUUUCUGCCCAAGCAGAAAUAUAAUGAAGAUCCAAGACGGAAUAGCAGACGUAUACAUGACAAUGCCAUAAUGUCUAAGUCUAUGUAUUUUUCUAUCUUGGAUAGCCUGUAAACGGAGGCCCUGUAUAACAGAAACAAAACUGAUGUGAGUCGACCUGUUUCAAACUGGUGGUCUCUUUUCCUAUCCUGUGUGAGUUUAACACAGUCCCAGCCUACACUCAUGACAAUGUUGUGUUUGAAAGAAUAAAUUUUUAUGAAGCAU
rnacentral:lncRNA from 1 species